rnacentral:rRNA from 1 species
GACAGAGGAUGCAAGCGUUAUCCGGAAUGAUUGGGCGUAAAGCGUCUGUAGGUGGCUUUUUAAGUCCGCCGUCAAAUCCCAGGGCUCAACCCUGGACAGGCGGUGGAAACUACCAAGCUGGAGUACGGUAGGGGCAGAGGGAAUUUCCGGUGGAGCGGUGAAAUGCGUAGAGAUCGGAAAGAACACCAACGGCGAAGGCAGGUCACUGGGCAGUUACUGACACUGAGGCACGAAGGCCAGGGGAGCAAACGGG